ACAGCACACACAGCAGUGUAUGUGUGUGUGUGUGUGUAUAUAUAUAUAUAUAUAUAUAUCAAUAUAUAUAUAUAUAUAUAUAUAUAUAUAUAUAUAGAUACAUACAUACACACACACACACGCGGCGUGUGUUUG